UGAGCAAUCUGCCCUUCUCUUUGGAAUAAGCGUUGGAAACGACGUCUAAUGCCGAAUACGACCUCCUUUCGCAUGAUCGGAGGUGGAAAGCUCCGGCGGAGAAGGAUGAGCUCGCGGCCUAUCAGCUAGUUGGUGUGGGUAAUGGCCCACCAAGGCGACGACGGGUAGCCGGCCUGAGAGGGUCGACCCGGCCACACGUGGGACUGAGACACCGGCCCAGACCUCCCGUACGGGGAGG
rnacentral:rRNA from 1 species